rnacentral:rRNA from 1 species
GAUGAACGCUGGCGGCGUGCCUAAUACAUGCAAGUCGAGCGAACAGACGAGGAGCUUGCUCCUCUGACGUUAGCGGCGGACGGGUGAGUAACACGUGGAUAACCUACCUAUAAGACUGGGAUAACUUCGGGAAACCGGAGCUAAUACCGGAUAAUAUAUUGAACCGCAUGGUUCAAUAGUGAAAGACGGUUUUGCUGUCACUUAUAGAUGGAUCCGCGCCGCAUUAGCUAGUUGGUAAGGUAACGGCUUACCAAGGCAACGAUGCGUAGCCGACCUGAGAGGGUGAUCGCCCACACUGGAACUGAGCCACGCUCCAGACUCCUACGGGAGGCAGCAGUAGGGAAUCUUCCGCAAUGGGCGAAAGCCUGACGGAGCAACGCCGCGUGAGUGAUGAAGGUCUUCGGAUCGUAAAACUCUGUUAUUAGGGAAGAACAAAUGUGUAAGUAACUAUGCACGUCUUGACGGUACCUAAUCAGAAAGCCACGGCUAACUACGUG